GCCAGGUUUUGUGAAAAUAUGCUAAACGGAACGCCUUCAGUCGCGUUAAUGUUACCGGAAAAAAGAGAAACAAAUCUAAAGAAAUCUCUAUGUGAGAGCUAAACUCCUCCAGACCUCAGCAACAACUGGUGUUCGAGGAUCCAAGUAAACUUCUGCUGGCAGCCAAUGAAGACCACAAUCUGGCAUUAUACUAACUUGUGUAGGAUGUCAGCCUGUUCAGUGAGGAGAAGCGACAGACCCUCCAUGAGCAGCAAGGCCUUAUGGUAGCGCUGAAUUGAUGCUUCCCCCUGAUGAAACAUCUCAUCCAGAGCUGCAGCCUGCACCUGCUAUAGUCUCACCAUUUGCACAGUGUGGCCGAAGAGGAGCCUUUCUGCAGUGAUGCUGUUGAUGUGGUCCAUGAGUUUGUGUUUUCGGGUGAAGAAUCGCUCCAGCUGAUUGCUCAGAGACCGACAGG